rnacentral:sRNA from 1 species
AUAUAGGCAUAUACAGAAAAAGAGAGAAGAAAGACCAGUAGAAUGAUUAAAAUAAGAAAACAAGAAUCCCUCAGCCAGAGUCCCAUCCAGAAUCUUUAAUAAAGCAUGGUAAGCUCCAAGUACAGCCCAGUAUGGAAUUACCGGGAGCGCUGAUGUUCUUUUCUCCUGCUGGUACCUUGUGUUGACACUGUC